UGGCUCAGGACGAAACGCUGGCGGCGUGCCUAAUACAUGCAAGUCGAGCGGAUCUAUCCUUCGGGAUAGGUUAGCGGCGGACGGGUGAGUAACACGUAGGUAACCUGCCUGUAAGAUCGGGAUAACUACCGGAAACGGUAGCUAAGACCGGAUAGCUGGUUUCCCCGCAUGGGGGGAUCAUGAAACACGGCGCAAGCUGUGACUUACAGAUGGGCCUGCGGCGCAUUAGCUAGUUGGUGAGGUAACGGCUCACCAAGGCGACGAUGCGUAGCCGACCUGAGAGGGUGAACGGCCACACUGGGACUGAGACACGGCCCAGACUCCUACGGGAGGCAGCAGUAGGGAAUCUUCCGCAAUGGACGCAAGUCUGACGGAGCAACGCCGCGUGAGUGAUGAAGGUUUUCGGAUCGUAAAGCUACUGUUGCCAAGGAAGAACGGCCAGGAGUAGUAACUGUUUCUUGGUUUGACGGUACUUGAAAAGAAAAGCCCCGGCUAA
rnacentral:rRNA from 1 species